CUAUGAAGCUUCUAAGAAGCUUCUCUAGAAGAUAUUACACAAUUAAUCUACUUUUAUCUACUUUUACAUACUUUUAUCUAUUCAUAUAGGUAAUUAUAUGUAUGUCCGUGACAUUACCCCCCCUUCUAGGGACGAGUUCCACGAGGAGCGGUGAUUAUAUAUUGAGAAAAUCUAAUAUGCGGCGAAUUGUAUUUACUACAUAUUCUGAUCUUUGUUCUCUUCGAAGAUAGUUGAUGGGUCCUCUUAGCCAUCGAUAGUGUCCCAUUCCAGGGCGAGAAGACCACCCUGUUAUUUGAUCACU
rnacentral:lncRNA from 1 species